GAUGAACGCUGGCGGCGUGCCUAACACAUGCAAGUCGAGCGAACAGACGAGGAGCUUGCUCCUUUGACGUUAGCGGCGGACGGGAGAGUAACACGUGGAUAAUCUACCUAUCAGUCUGGGAUCACUUCGGGAAACCGGAGCUUAUACCGGAUAAUAUAUUGAACCGCAUGGUUCAAUAGUGAGAGACGGCUUUGCUGUCACUUCUAGAUGGAUCCGCGCCGCAUUAGCUAGUUGGUAAGGUAACGGCUUAUCAAGGCAACGAUGCGUAGCCGACCUGAGAGAGUGAUCGGCGACACUGGAAGUGAGACACGGUCCAGACUCCUACGGGACGCAGCAGUCGGGAAUCUUCCGCAGUGGGCGAGAGCCUGACGGAGCAACGGCACGUGAGUGGUGAAGGUCUUGGGAUCGGAAAACUCUGUUUUUAGGGAAGAACAAAUGUCUCCGUAACUGAGCACGGCGUGACGGUACCUGGUCAAAAAGCCACGGCUAACUACGUG
rnacentral:rRNA from 1 species